AAAGUACUCCCUCCGUCCGAAAAUACUUGUCAUCAAAAUAGAUAAAAAGAGAUGUAUGUAGAACUAAAAUAUGUCUAGAUACAUCCCCUUUUAUCCAUUUUGAUGACAAGUAUUUCCGGACGGAGGGAAUAGUAG
rnacentral:pre_miRNA from 1 species